rnacentral:rRNA from 1 species
CCCUUAGAUGUUCUGGGCCGCACACGCGCUACACUGAAGGAGGCAGCGUGUACUCCUGGAUCGAAAGAUUUGGGUAACCCGCGAAUCUCCUUCGUGCUAGGGAUUGAGGUUUGCAAUUAUCCUUCAUGAACGAGGAAUUCCCAGUAAGUGCAAGUCAUAAGUUUGCGCUGACUACGUCCCUGCCCUUUGUACACACCGCCCGUCGCUACUACCGAUUGAAUGAUUUAGUGAGGACUUCGGACUGGGACUGAUGCGGCUUUCGGGCUGCGUCGGUAUUCUGGAAAGAUGUCCAAACUGUAUCAUUUAGAGGAAGUAAAAGUCGUAACA